rnacentral:rRNA from 1 species
CCAAUAGCGUAUAUUUAAGUUGCUGCAGUUAAAAAGCUCGUAGUUGGAUUUCGGGUGGGAAUGGCCGGUCCGCCGUUUCGGUGUGCACUUGCUACGCCCACCUUGCUGCCGGGGACGUGCUCUUGAGUUCACGCUCGGGACACGGAGUCGGCGAGGUUACUUUGAGUAAAUUAGAGUGUUCAAAGCAGGCCUACGCUCUGAAUACAUUAGCAUGGAAUAACACGAUAGGACUCUGGCCUAUCUUGUUGGUCUGUAGGACCGGAGUAAUGAUUAAGAGGGACAGUCGGGGGCAUUCGUAUUUCAUUGUCAGAGGUGAAAUUCUUGGAUUUAUGAAAGACGAACUACUGCGAAAGCAUUUGCCGAGGAUGUUUUCAUUAA